rnacentral:rRNA from 1 species
AUUGAACGCUGGCGGCAGGCCUAACACAUGCAAGUCGAGCGGUAGCACAGAGAGCUUGCUCUCGGGUGACGAGCGGCGGACGGGUGAGUAAUGUCUGGGAAACUGCCUGAUGGAGGGGGAUAACUACUGGAAACGGUAGCUAAUACCGCAUAACGUCGCAAGACCAAAGUGGGGGACCUUCGGGCCUCAUGCCAUCAGAUGUGCCCAGAUGGGAUUAGCUAGUAGGUGGGGUAACGGCUCACCUAGGCGACGAUCCCUAGCUGGUCUGAGAGGAUGACCAGCCACACUGGAACUGAGACACGGUCCAGACUCCUACGGGAGGCAGCAGUGGGGAAUAUUGCACAAUGGGCGCAAGCCUGAUGCAGCCAUGCCGCGUGUGUGAAGAAGGCCUUCGGGUUGUAAGCACUUUCAGCGGGAGGAAGG